rnacentral:tRNA from 1 species
GGCUCUGCGGCUUAGUUGGCUAACGUGCCUGUAUUGUAAAUAGGAGAUCCUGGGUUCAACCCCCAGCAGGGCCU